rnacentral:rRNA from 1 species
AUUGAACGCUGGCGGCAGGCUUAACACAUGCAAGUCGAGCGGAGAGAGGUAGCUUGCUACUGAUCUUAGCGGCGGACGGGUGAGUAAUGCUUAGGAAUCUGCCUAUUAGUGGGGGACAACAUUUCGAAAGGAAUGCUAAUACCGCAUACGUCCUACGGGAGAAAGCAGGGGAUCUUCGGACCUUGCGCUAAUAGAUGAGCCUAAGUCGGAUUAGCUAGUUGGUGGGGUAAAGGCCUACCAAGGCGACGAUCUGUAGCGGGUCUGAGAGGAUGGUCCGCCACACUGGGACUGAGACACGGCCCAGAAUCGUACGGGGGGUAGCAGUGGGGAAUAUUGGACAAUGGGCGCAAGCCUGAUCCAGCCAUGCCGCGUGUGUGAAGAAGGCCUUUUGGUUGUAAAGCACUUUAAGCGAGGAGGAGGCUACCUGGAUUAAUACUCUAGGAUAGUGGACGUUACUCGCAGAAUAAGCACCGGCUAACUCUGUGCCAGCCGCCGCCGUAACAC